GUCUGUGGUCAGGCGCAAAAUAGUGCGCAGGACAAAAGAGGAGAGUCGGGUCAGUACUUGGAUGGGAGACCGCCUGGGAACACCGGAUGCUGUAGGCG
rnacentral:rRNA from 1 species